CUUUGGAGAAUCUUCUGCAUGUUUCCAGAUGGUUUGUGGCCCUCUGUACCUCAGAGUAGCACCCUGGCAUCCCCAUAUUCACCAUUGCGAUAUGAUUAUGAUAUGUUUUUUACAAGAAAUAACCAGGAAAUACCAAGGAAAACUCUGAGGAUUACUCUGUGGAGGUCUGCGAGGAUCAUUAUAUUGGAGAAGGAGGAUUUGCCCACCCUUAACCAUUCCUAGUACAGGCAAUGGAUUUGAGCUGCAAGAUGCACAGGAGGCCUUGUGUGUCCCUGAUGGCUCUGGGGCCCACUGUUUACCACACACAAACACCUGCUCCCCAGCAGCAUGGCUGUAUCCUUACAGAUGGUCCCCCGUGACAAGACAAUCCAUUGCACUGGAGAGAAGUAAACAAGCUCACUGCAAGAUGCCAGUUGGGAAUCACAAUGGGAAAUAACUGAUCUCUAG